rfam:TPA: Bos taurus chromosome 1, whole genome shotgun sequence.
UCCCUGGUAGCUCAGCUGGUAAAGAAUCUGUCUGUAAUGCAGGAGACCUUGGUUCGAUAUCUGGGCCAGGAAA